rnacentral:misc_RNA from 1 species
GGCGUCACGCAUCGCGUCGCUUCGCGUACCCCACGUCCCCGCCCAGUGCGGGUGGUGGCGGCGGACGCGGACGCGGAUAUUGGCCCCCCGUGCCUCGCGGCGCGGUGGGUCGAAGUGCGGGCCGCCGGCCGGGUUGGACGCGGCGAGUGUUGGACGGAAACGCACGGCGCAAAACGUCGCGGACCCCCGGCUCUAGCGCCGAAUGCAAGGAACCCACUCCGACGGAAGCCAACGAGCUCUCUCGGACC